UACGAAGGGGGCUAGCGUUGUUCGGAAUCACUGGGCUUAAAGCGUGUGUAGGCGGGUCCGUAAGUACCUUGUGAAAUCCCACGGCUCAACCGUGGAACUGCUCGGUAUACUGCGGGUCUUGAGCUGUCUAGGGGCGACCGGAACAAGCGGUGGAGCGGUGAAAUGCGUAGAUAUCGACUUGGAACGCCAAUGGUGAAAACAGGUUGCUGGGAGUGUGCUGACGGCUGAGACACGAAAGCCCAGGGGAGCAAACGGG
rnacentral:rRNA from 1 species